UUUUAUGAAUGGGAAAAGGAAGUAGAUUCUUGAAAUGGAAUCUACUCCUGGUAAAGAUGCUGAGAA
rnacentral:pre_miRNA from 1 species